GAAGUCAGGGCCGCGGCGCUUCUGGUCCCGGAGACUUGGGGCUCCCGGGCUUCUGAGCGGCUCGGGUUCCGCGCUGCCGGCAGGGCUUGGGGGCGCGUUAGAGCCGGACCCCGUUUUUUCAGGAAAGGGCCCUGCGACCACCCCCGUCCCGGGCCUCAGCCCCUCUGCUGCAGACCCUCGGGAUCGUCGCUGGCAAAUAGAUACAAGAAAUCUGAUCGUGUCCUCUCAGAGAAAACCGUCUGAAAUAAACUUAUCACCUUUAAAAAAGGGAUGUUGAAGAACAAGAUGGAUUUUUGUUGUUGUUGUCGUUUUUUGAGACGGAGUCUCGCGCUUGUCGUCCAGGCCGGAAUGCGGUGGUGCGAUCUCGGCUCACUGCAACCUCCGCCUCCCAGGUUUAAGUGAUUCCCCUGCCUCAGCCUCCUGAGUAGCUAGGAUUAUAGGCACCUGCCACCACGCCCGGCUAAUUUUUGUAUUUUUAGUAGAGACUGGGUUUCGCCAUGUUGGCCAGGCUGGUCUGGAUCUCCUGACCUCAGGUGAUCUGCCCGCCUCGGCCUCCCAAAGUGCUGGGAUUACAGACGUGAGCACCCAGCCUGGAUGUUGUUUUUGAUGACACUGCUAAGCACUUAUGUGAGGGACUGUUUGGGUGGUUUGGGUCUAGAUCUAAGAUAAAGACAGUAGGAAAGAAACGAGAGGUGGAAGGUUGUCCUAGGCUGAGGUGGUGGUCCAGGAACUUUCUGGCAGCCUGGAUGGAUGCCUGGGCAGAAUUUAUAUAUCUAGAAGAAUGGAAGAGGACCUCAUUGCAUGCCAUUGACUGUUCUCCGAGGGUAAAGGAACUGGAAAGAAAGACUCACUCAAGUGCAUUCACAUAAAAUGGGAAUCUAAUAGUAAUGGUGCCAAUUGUGGGGCAAAGAGUUCGAGGAGUUAUUUUGAAAAAUGAAAAAAAAGCAAAGUAUCUUAAGUUUGUCUUAUAUUCAAUAAAUUGUCGGUGAUAA